CGAUGAUCCAAAAAAUUGGUAAGAAUGGUGCUCCCACGUUCUCUCUUAUCUAGGAAAAUCAAUACAGCAAAAUGUGUGUUUAAUAAACCUUGCAUUGCUGCAAAAAUUAAUAUUAUGUUUGUGAAUCUAAUGCCAUGGUGGAUAUCAUGAAGAAGAGGGACAUGUUUGUUGCGUUUGAAGGUGUACUUAUGAGUGCAAGGGAGCCUCGAGGAUUUGGAACAAAAAGAAGCCUGCUAAGGGGUGUCCCGCGGCAGAUGCGCGCCCAAUGACGCUGUGGAGCUGUCAACUCCCACCCAGAUCGCCACAGAGAACAGCGAAGCAUCCUCCCUUCUCCCUUCCGGUUGCAUCU